rnacentral:lncRNA from 1 species
AAAUGCCACUCAUCUAGGCCAUAUACAUGUCCAAGUUCAUCUCUUUAUGCCACUAUAGGAUUCAUGUCACAAGACCCAAUCCUCAUGCAACCUAAGUUUAAGUGUCAAGCACACAAUGCCACACUAUAUAGGAAACAUGCAAGGAAGUGGAAAUGUACUCAUCUACUAAUACUAUAAUGUACAAUGUCAAUACAUGAGUAUGAUCAAUAUAGAACUUAGACAUAAAAGGAAGCCCAGUUGCUUCGGGAUGGACACCCCCCACCUUCUGGUGAUUACACGAAGCUAGGUGAUUACACGAAGCUAGGUUCCAACUUUCGUAAUUUUCCGCCGCCAAUCUCUCUCGACUGCGGCAAUCAAAGCCAAAAACAGGCUUUUCUUUAAUAUUUUCGCGCCCACUCGUCGGAUCGCCGAACUGAGUUCACCAAUGCGUUCGAUUACCUAGCAGAUAGGUAUAAAAGAGAUCAAUCCCUACUUUAGAUCUCUACUUUACCAAAUCCCCUUUUCUAACCCUAGAUGCUUAACUUUGCGAGAAAACCCCACACGAAGUCCCGAUUCAAGCAAAUAACAUCUAAUUAGCAUCAAAGGGUUCUACUAAAACCAUUUCUAGAGUAUAAGAAGCUAACCCUAGAAAUAUACCAUUAAAGCUUCAAGAGCUUACCUCUCCACAACUCUCCCAGCCAAGAAAGAAGACGAAGAAGACGAAUAUCGACUUUCUUGCUUCAAUCUCCACCAAUCCCUUCUUUUUGAUCAACCCUUUUGAGAGCUUCUAGAGAGAGAGAGAAAGAAAAAUGAGAUGAAGAGGUGUGACGCCCCAACUUCCCAGGGGGUCACCCAUCCUAGGACUACUCCCGUCCUAGCACGCUUAACUCUCUUAACCUCUUGGGUCUAGCCACCACCCAAAAUGCUUAAGCCGGGUUAAGAGUUUAGCCCUAUUAUAUCUCAUAUAUAGGACUAUCUGGGGUCUCACAAGAGGUGUUCUUUGGCUGUGAAUACAAGAGAGGGAGAUGGGAUCUAUUUGUAGGCUACCAUAAUUGCAUAAAAGCCCCUCAACAAUUGCUAUUUGCAACAUACUGCAUUCUGCAGUUUUCUGCACUUAGUACCGGUACAUGUGACUUUUGUUACCGGUUUAAUGAUUAUGCAACGGCCAACCCGAGAGCUACUACUCUCGGUUUGUUACGGGGUACCGGUACCACCCUGAUGCUGUACCGGUACGCAGUGUCCAGACUGCAGUUUAACACUUGUUCAGCUUUUACUUCGCCCCGAACAAAGAUAAAACUCAAUCAUCUCCUUUAGAACUCAACUUUGACCCUUCCAACAUUAUUGGAAUAUCAAUUGGAGCACGUCCAAGCAUCUCUCUCACCACGCUUUGGUCCUUUUGCCCAAAAGUAGUUUAAUAGGGCGGGGAAUCAAUAUCUUACAUCCUCCCUUCCUUAACAAGAGUUUCGUCUUUGAAAAUCAACUCACAACUCAACUAGACUUAUCGAGCAACUGAGGGUACCAAUGCACCUUCCUACUCCGGAGUGGCCUUUCACUCAUUGGGACUGUUCAAAGGCCCACUACGGAGGACGUGAGACCAAACUCUCUCAUAUUUGCUAAGCACAACACCGAAAGUGCAUUACGGCUCCGCAAGUAUCGGGGGUAGCGUAAGUCGACGCUCGACGACUCUACACGCUCCAACACCACUCGCUACCGAAUUAAGGGAAUGCACUCCGAUUUGAUUACCGGCAUUGCUUAAAAACAAUAUCGUUGGUGACUCGACUAAUCUUGACUGUAAUAUACCGAAACUUCGGUAUAGAUUAUCGAACUUUAGUCAAAUUGACCAAAGUGCGAAAUUGGGAUGCUUCGGGAAGGCCGAAUGCAUCAAAAUUGCAUAAAGUGCAUUGUAGAAGGUCUCGGAGAGCAAAAGAAUGAAAUUCUGCAAAACGGCACCUUUUAUGCUCUCGGCAACCGGUCCCUAGUGGGAGGGACCGAACCCUGUACGCGUGAGAAAUGCAAACUGCCUGACUGCACAAAGUCAUGCUCUCGGGGACCGGUCCCUCAGUGGGAGACAGGACCCUGGCUGCGAAAGUUGCAGAAUGGUGCUCUCGAGGACCGGUCUCUACUAGAGAGGCCGGUCCCCGUGCCCGAAAAGUGCCCAGUCUGGGCAACGCAUUAAGGUUAAAGUUGAGGGGUCUAAAUGCAUUUAUGCAGGGUGUGGGGUAUGUAUGAGGGGGUAUGAGUGUCACGCCCCGCGACCGCUACCAAUUUGGCUCGGCCUGGGCGCGUCGAACAGACGCCGGACGGACAGCACCUCCCCUGUCCGCCCAAGGCUAACAACGAGAUUGUGUACAACAAGUUCCCAGGAAAAUAACUUGAAUACAUACACAAUCGAUAACUACAACGAGAGCACAAUCAGUGAAAACAACCAAGAGCAAGAUACAAAUAUAGAACAUACAAGUAAUGAUAAAGAGAGGAACAUCUAUCUAUUACAUUCAUUCAGCCUUUAUAAUACAACUUGAUUAUACAUUAAGCUUCUAAAAAUAAUAUAGAGCUUACAUCUUCCAAAAUAUAAACAUUAGCUUACAUUCAUUCCAGAAUAUCUCACAUCCUAUACAUCAUCUACUCUCAAAGCAUAUAAAGGUAACUCUAAUGCAGAAAUAGGAAAGUAAACUAAUGCAACUAGGGCGCUAGGCCCUUACCGCGAUCCUCGCCGUGUGAACUCGCGCUCGGCCCUGUAGUAAAAUGGGGGUGAGAACUAACUUCCUUAGUUCCCAGUGGGUUCGGCCGCCGACUCCGCCGAUCUCCCCACUAGGUCCAAGUUGGGCACAAGUAGAUAAUCGAUAGAUAGAUAGAUAAGGAAAGCGGUAAAUGACAGAAGUAAAGCUACGCUACUAUGCCCAAUCAUAAAUAUAUGAAUGCAUGUACAAUGAAAUGGAUAAACAACAAUCCCAUUAUCAUGUCCAAAGGUAAAGCUAUUUACUCGUUCAUCAAUCUCAUCUACUUGUUUCUUAAUCUCGUGGCUUCCCUGAAGGAGCCUACUGCUCACUAGCCAUCUCGAAGGUAGGGAGAGUCAACUCGCACUACGAACCGAGACCGUCUGGCGGGGCCUAAAAUAGGCAAUCCCUUGGGACCCAAAAUAGGCGAUCCCACGUGACCAACUCCGGAGCGCACUACUUGUGUGGGGCUUCCAUCACAAGAUUUAAAAACAGACCGUGAGCAUGAUCCAAUCCUCAUCUCGAGAAUACCCUAUCCUCUAGGGUUACAACCAUCAUAUAGUCCAUAGGUUUCAUAUACACUAUGACUCACAUAUGUCACUUGUUCUUUAUAAGUUUCCAAUGCAAUAGCCAAUACAUUACUAAAUUCCCAUCCACACUUAUCAUCUUAUUAUAGGGUUCCACAUCACAUAUAUAAACCUCAAGCAUGCUAGAUAUAAGUACUAAGCCAAAUACAUUAUUCUACCAAAGAACAUGCCAGGUAUAGGACCAAACCAUCAUUUAUCACCCUAUAAUGCAAGAUGUCAAUAUGCAAUUUGAUCAAUAUAAAACUUAGACAUAAAAGGGAGCCCGGUUGCUUCGGGAUGGACACCACCCACCUUUUAUAGCGUUCCGAUUGCUCGUCGACACUUGCAAUCGGCCUCCCGCGGCACCCGGCACCCGGUUUGGCCCGAUCUCUCGCGCGACCAUCCGAACGGCCUCCAAUUCACGAUCCGAAAAUUAAAGGUCUUCGGUUAUGUGCCACGAUGUUUCAAAUCCAUUUUCAUGAGUAUACAAUGUCGCCUCGGCCCUCCAGGCGGAAAC